rnacentral:pre_miRNA from 8 species
AAAAGUGUUCAAAGAAAGAUGCUAAACUAUUUUUGCGAUGUGUUCCUAAUAUGUAAUCUAAAUGUAUUGGGAACAUUUUGCAUUCAUAGUUUUGUAUCAAUCUUCAUAUUAUUAUAU